GGUAAACUCUCUUCAGACUCCUACGGGAGCCAGACUCCGUCCCUGACUUUAAUUGCAGGUGGACUUCGCCCAGGCUCCCACGGGAGCCGGACCUCAUCCCCAACUCCGGCUGCAGGAAGACUUCAUCCGGACUCCUACGGGAGCCGGACUUCGCCCCCGACGCCAACUACAGGUGGACUCUGCCCGGACUCCUACGGGAGCCGGGCUUCAUCCCCAACUUCAACCGCCGGUAAGAUCCGUCCGGACUCCCACGGGAGCCGGACUUCGCACCUAACUUCAAUUGCAGGAAGACUUCAUCCGGACUCCUACGGGAGCCGGACUUUGCCCGAUGCCAACUGCAGGUGGACUCCGCCCGAACUCCUACGGGAGCCGGGCUUCAUCCUCGACAUCGACUGCUGGUAAACUCUCUCCAGACUCCUACGGGAGCCGGACUCUGUCCCUGACUUUAAUUGCAGGUGGACUUCGCCCAGGCUCCUACGGGAGCAAGACCUCAUCCCCAACUCCGGUUGCAGGAAGACUUCAUCCAGACUCCUACGGGAGCCGAACUUCACCCGACGCCAACUGCUGGUGGACUCCGCCCAGACUCCUAUGGGAGCCGGGCUUCAUCCUCGACUUUGACUGCUGGUAAACUCUCUUCAGACUCCUACGGGAGCCGGACUCUGUCUCUGACUUUAAUUGCAGGUGGACUUCGCCCAGGCUCCCACGGGAGCCGGACCUCGUCCCCAACUCCGGCUGUAGAAAGACUCCGUCCGGACUCCUACGGGAGCCGGACUUCGCCCCCGACGCCAACUGCAGGUGGACUCCGCCCGGACUCCUGCGGGAGCCGGGCUUCAUCCCCGACUUCGACUGCUGGUAGACUCCGUCCGGACUCCUGCGGGAGCCAGACUUCACACCUAACUUCAAUUGCAGGAAGACUUCAUCCAGACUCCUAUGGGAGCCGAACUUCGCCCGAUGCCAACUGCAGGUGGACUCCGCCCGGACUCCUACGGGAGCCGGGCUUCAUCCUCGACUUCGACUGCUGGUAAACUCUCUCCGGACUCCUAUGGGAGCCGGACUCCGUCCCUGACUUUAAUUGCAGGUGGACUUCGCCCAGGCUCCCACGGGAGCCGGACCUCGUCCCCAACUUCGGCUGCAGGAAGACU
rnacentral:lncRNA from 1 species